AGCAGCCGUGCUUUCUCGGGUGGGCACCAAGGGUCCGUGGGGCCAGAGGAGGGUAGGGGCGGCGUUCACACCACCAAGUAGUCGGACCGCUGGGAAGACGACCGGAGAUCCAUAUGGAGUUGUAAUAAACACCACAGAGGAAACCAUGUAUCCUUCGCUGAGUUUUCCCAAAUUGGCUUCUUGCGAAGUUACUCAGCCGAGACGUCAUCAGCCUUGAAUUUAAAGGGAAAGAAAAAAACCUGCUGAGAAGCCCACGUGACUUUCUCCUCCCUCCAGACCUUGGGGACUCACGGGACUUGCUGAUGCCCGCUCACCUGUCAGAUGGC